rnacentral:snRNA from 1 species
ACUGCUUCUCGGCCUUUUGGCUAAGAUCAAGUAUAUCUGUUCUUGUCAGUUUAAUAAGCCCUUGACUUGUAGUAUGCUUUGGAAGUGCAUGGAAAUGAUGGGUGAUGUAAUUUUUUUUAAAAAACAACU